rnacentral:misc_RNA from 1 species
GUGAAUCAUCAAAUCUUUGAACGCAUAUUGCACACUCUGGUAUUCCGGAGAGUAUGCCUGUUUGAGGGUCAGCCUAAACAAAAAUCGACAUAGUCGCUGUUUCUCGGUGGCUUUCGUCGGUAAUUGGGUCAUCUUAAACCUUUGGGAUUUAAUCAGCUUAAACUUUUCUUUACGAUUUCUCGACCUUCACUAAUUUUUACUUCUUCUUCUUUUAUUGUUUCGAAC